rnacentral:rRNA from 1 species
GAUGAACGCUGGCGGCGUGCUUAACACAUGCAAGUCGAACGGAAAGGCUCCUGCUUGCAGGGGUACUCGAGUGGCGAACGGGUGAGUAACACGUGGGUGAUCUGCCCUGCGCUUCGGGAUAAGCCUGGGAAACUGGGUCUAAUACCGGAUAGGACCACAUUUUGGAUGGUGUGGUGGAAAGUUUUUCGGUGUGGGAUGAGCUCGCGGCCUAUCAGCUUGUUGGUGGGGUAAUGGCCUACCAAGGCGUCGACGGGUAGCCGGCCUGAGAGGGUGUACGGCCACAUUGGGACUGAGAUACGGCCCAGACUCCUACGGGAGGCAGCAGUGGGGAAUAUUGCACAAUGGGCGCAAGCCUGAUGCAGCGACGCCGCGUGGGGGAUGACGGCCUUCGGGUUGUAAACUCCUUUCGCUAGGGACGAAGCGCAAGUGACGGUACCUGGAGAAGAAGCACCGGCUAACUACGUG